rnacentral:rRNA from 1 species
UGGGGAAUCUUGCGCAAUGGGCGAAAGCCUGACGCAGCGACGCCGCGUGGGGGAUGAAGCUUUUCGGAGUGUAAACCCCUUUCGACCGGGACGAAACGCCCGCAAGGGAAUUGACGGUACCGGUAUAAGAAGCCCCGGCUAACUACGUGCCAGCAGCCGCGGUAAGACGUAGGGGGCCAGCGUUGCUCGGAAUAACUGGGCGUAAAGGGUCCGUAGGCGGUGUGGCAAGUUGGGAGUGAAAUCUCUGGGCUUAACCCAGGGGCUGCUUCCAAAACUGCCGUGCUAGAGUGCGAGAGAGGUGAGUGGAAUUGCAGGUGUAGCGGUGAAAUGCGUAGAUAUCUGCAGGAACACCCGUGGCGAAGGCGGCUCACUGGAUCGCAACUGACGCUGAGGGACGAAAGCUAGGGGAGCAAACAGGAUUAGAUACCCCCGUAGUCC